GACGUAGGGCGCGAGCGUUGUCCGGAUUUAUUGGGCGUAAAGAGCUCGUAGGCGGCUUGUUGCGUCGACUGUGAAAGCCCGUGGCUUAACCGCGUGGUCUGCAGUCGAUACGGGCAGGCUAGAGUUCGGUAGGGGAGACUGGAAUUCCUGGUGUAGCGGUGAAAUGCGCAGAUAUCAGGAGGAACACCGGUGGCGAAGGCGGGUCUCUGGGCCGAUACUGACGCUGAGGAGCGAAAGCGUGGGGAGCAAACAGG
rnacentral:rRNA from 1 species